UAUUCUGCCCCACGGGGAAGGAUGAGAAGCUUCGACUAAGGUUCGACUCGAGCGAAGCGAGAGAACGUUGCCGCAGGCAAUGGCCCGAAGGCAAGGCGCUUUAGCGCCGAGUAAUCCUUCCCCCACCACUG
rnacentral:sRNA from 1 species